GAUGAACGCUGACAGAAUGCUUAACACAUGCAAGUCAACUUGAACUUCGGUUUGGGUGGCGGACGGGUGAGUAACGCGUAAAGAACUUGCCUCACAGAUAGGGACAACAUUUGGAAACGAAUGCUAAUACCUGAUAUUAUGAUUAUAUGGCAUCGUAUAAUUAUGAAAGCUAUAUGCGCUGUGAGAGAGCUUUGCGUCCCAUUAGCUAGUUGGAGAGGUAACGGCUCACCAAGGCGAUGAUGGGUAGCCGGCCUGAGAGGGUGAUCGGCUACAAGGGGACUGAGACACGGCCCUUACUCCUACGGGAGGCAGCAGUGGGGAAUAUUGGACAAUGGACCAAGAGUCUGAUCCAGCAAUUCUGUGUGCACGAUGAAGUUUUUCGGAAUGUAAAGUGCUUUCAGUUGGGAAGAAAAAAAUGACGGUACCAACAGAAGAAGUGACGGCUAAAUACGUG
rnacentral:rRNA from 1 species